GGAAACCACGGAGUGGAACGGCUCAGAGCCAAGGUAGUGUGGGAGCUGGGGUGGGGUCGCGGUUUCUUUUAUUUAUUUCACUUGGAACUGUGGGGGGCCUUUGGACUCCCUCGGGCCGAUUGCCCGGAAGUCCGGACCUGAAAAACCAGCGGAAAACAGGAGGCUUCAGGGCAGGUGGGGGACUAUGGUGAAGAGCGGCUCGCCCGGCUCGCCAGCCCUGCGGCGGCGGGUGAGAUGAGUGUUCACAAGGGGUUUGGCUCACUUGAGGAGCCCUUUCUUCUUGAGAAGGACCAGGAUGUCUUCCCUGGAAAGACAGGAUUGGAUGUGGAUACAGGAUUCUCUUACCAAAGAGGAGGUCAUAGGAAUGAGAGGAGAUGGAGAACAAGAUCUGAAUGGAGAACAGACUCUAUCCAGUGCCCAGGAAGGGAAGAAUGUAGCACAUGAGAAGAUUUUGGCAUCAGCCUUGGAUUCACCAGUUAUCCGGCAUUGGCCUGGGGUUAUCCAACCUGAAAAUGUCAUCCCUAUUUCUUGGGUUCUACAAGAAAAGACAGUGUCUUCCACCCCUGAAUCUGCCUUAGAUCAUGAGAACUGCCAAGAAGACAUAGCACAGGAAGAAGUGCCAUUGGUCAGCAAUCCCCAGGUGAGUUUUGGUUUCCUUUCUUCUGGAGAGUAUUAUUCUCUGAAUA
rnacentral:lncRNA from 1 species